AAAAUUUAUAAAUGGACAUAACCUUAUACACAAGAUUUAAAAUAACCCCUGGGCACAUGUGGGCCCAACCCAGAGAUAGCCCUUCCUGAAAUGACUGGAGCCAAGAGCCUGUCACGCUCGCGGUAUUCAGUGCAAGGUCUGAUCGCGUCUUCUGUCACUCAAGGCCUGAGGGCGCGGAGCCUGGAGCUCUAUCCAUUAAGGGCGCUGGGGUGGGAACUGUCCAAUCAGGUUCACAGUCAGAGAGGAAGGGGUGGCUCCCGGUACCUGGCGGGGCCUUUGUCUCUUGCUCCAGCCAGAGCUCGAGGUUAGCUCUUCACUGCCCUGUGUCUUCUUUCCAAGGGUCUCGGUGAUUCGGCCACAGCCUCAGCCUCCAUCACGCGGUGAACUGAUGGUGCUGGAAGAUUCAUAGACUCCAGGACAUUCCUGAAGCCGAGAAAAGGUUAAGUAGGGUCUGGCCUGGAAUACUCUCCUAGAUGAAGAUAGCCCAACCAUGAGCCACCUUCGAAGCAGAUGAGAUGAAAUUAAAGCUCUUCAACUCCUAAAGGCCCAGAGACUAUCACAAAAGAGGUCAGAAAUCCUGAAGGUCACUUUCUGACAAACUCAGGAACCCCAGGUUUAUCUUGGAGCCUCAAGAGGAGAUAAAUUCACCCAACUCAGAGUGAGGCUGGCUGGGGGAGCCUGGGCUCCUCUGUCCUCCCCGAGGUGGCAGUGGCUGAUGUCUGCUCAGGUGUGAGGGGGUGCUGCCAUCCUCUGGGCCUGAGGCUGCCUGGCCCAGCCCCUCCUAACUCCCUGGACUCUUCCACGGUGUCUUCAGGCCCCUACACCAUCCUUUGUGUAAGGGGAGGUGGCAGCAUAGAGAUGAUGGGGGAACUGCCCCAUGUGCCAAGGAAAGCUCACCCAUCUGUGCGAAAUGCUCUGGUUGACAUUGGGUUUUUGCGCACCAAACUGGGCCAUGACCAAGGUUUAUAACCAAGGUGUCUCCGGGCAUGGGCACUUUGGCUCUUGUAGAAACCACCCCACUGGCAGGAGACGGCGGUAGCUGUGGUCAUUGAAAACAAGCUCCUGCUGAUAAAUCUCAGACACCAGACACAGAAGAACCUGGAGACCCUGCCAGAGAGCUUGAGGCAAAUGGAUGGACUGUUGGAGCAGCUGAGGGUGAAGCAGCACAAACUCCUCAAAGUUGAAUAGCAAAGCAGCCACCAGAGAUGGACAAGAAAAAUGAACAAAGAAAAUUAGCAGAAAUCAAAGGCAGAUGCUAAAGCAGUGCAAAAUCAUUCAUUCAAUGAUAGAAAUGAAAUUGAUGAAGGAGUCUGGAAAAUGAAUGACAGAAGAGAAUUAAACAGCAGUGACCAUAGUAAGGUCCUGACGAUUCUGGUCCACUGAAUCCCAUCAUCCCUAAGACAGUAAAUAUCAUCACAGUCACCACCAGCAAGUUACCACCACAGCAUUUCCUGUUUGUUCCAAAAUGAAUAAAGAUGAUUCUCAUCACAAGGGCAAAUACAAAGUAGUUUAGUAUGUUUUUAACUAAACUAAAGGUGUUUGGUUUACUUUUUCUAAGUUCUCAUAAUUCUGAAAAUGCAGUUGACACUUGUGUGGCUCAUGAUGUUUUUAAUAGUCUAAUGCUACUUGAAUUGUUCAAAAACCACUGUAUUUUAAAUUAAGAUGAAUAAACGGUCCUUUGAAAACUGGCACAAGGCAAGGAUGCCCUCUGUCACCACUCCUAUUCAACACAGUAUUGGAAGUUCUGGCCAGGGCAAUCAGGCAAGGGAAAGCAAUACAGCGUAUCAAAAUAGGAAGAGAGGAAGUCAAAUUGUCUCUGUUUGCAGAUGACAUGAUUGCAUAUUUAGAAAACCCCAUCUUCUCAGCCCAAAACCUCCUUAAGCUGAUAAGCAACUUCAGCAGUCUCAGAAUACAAAAUCAAUGUGCAAAAAAUCACAAGCAUUCCUAUACAUUAAUAACAGACAAACAGAGAGCCAAAUCAUGAGUGAACUCCCACUCACAAUUGCUAGUAAGAGAAUAAAAUACCUAGGAAAAUACAGCUUACAAGGGACAUGAAGGACCUCUUCAAGGAGAACUACAAACCACUGCUCAAGGAAAUGAGAAGAGACAAACAAAUGGGAAAGCAUUCCAUGCUCAUGGAUAGGAAGAAUCAAUAUCGUGAAAAUGGCCAUAGUGCCCAAAGUAAUUUUAUAGAUUCAAUGCUAUCCUCAUUAAGCUACCAUUGAUUUUCUUCACAGAAUUGGAAAAAACUACUUUAAACUUCAUAUGGAACCAAAAAAGAGCCUGCACAACCAAGACAAUACUGGGCAAGAAGAACAAAGCUGGAAACAUCAGGCUACCUGGCUUCAAACUAUACUACAAGGCUACAGGAACCAAAACAGCAUGGUACUGGUACCAAACAGAUAUGUAGACCAGUGGAACAGAACAGGGCCUCAGAAAUUGAUAUCACUCUGUCACCAUCAAAAAAUACUUAUUUAGUGUCAAAUCCUACUGUGAAAUAGCAGAACUGUGGGAUUUGUAAAGUGGAAAUGCAGAAUUCAAAACAGAGAUAUAUACCAAUGGAACAGAGCAGAGGCCUCAGAAAUACCACCACACGGCUACAACAAUCUGAUCUUUGACAAACCUGACACACACAAGCAAUGAGAAAAAGAUUCCCUAUUUAAUAAAUGGUGUUGGGAAAACUGGCUAGCCAUAUGUAGAAAAUUGAAACUGGACCCCUUUCUUACCCGUUUUACAAAAAUCAACUCAAGAUGUAUCAAAGACUUAAAUGUAAGACCUAAGACCAUAAAAAUCCUAGAAGAAAACCUGGGCAGUACCAUUCAGGACAUAGGCAUGGGCAAAGCCUUCAUGUCCAAAACACCAAAAGCAGUGGCAACAAAAGCCAAAAUUGACAAAUGGGAUCUAAUUAAAUUAAAUAGCUUCUGCACAGCAAAAGAAACUCAUCAGAGUGAACAGGCAACUACAGAAUGGGAGAAAAUUCUUGCAAUCUAUCCAUCUGACAAAAGGCUAAUAUCUAGAAUCUACAAAGAAUUUAAACAGUUUACAAGAAACAAACAAACUGCCCCAUCAAAAAAUGGGCAAAGAUAUGGACAGACACUUCUCAAAAGAAAACAUUUAUGCAGCCAACAGACACAUGAAAAAAUGCUCAUCACUGGUCAUUAGAGAAAUGCAAAUCAAAACCACAAUGAGAUACCAUGUCACACCCGUUAGAAUGGCAAUCAUUAAAAAGUCAGGAAACAACAGUGCUGGAGUGGAUAUGGAGAAAUAGGAACACUUUUACACUGUUGGGAGUGUAAAUUAGUUCAACCAUUGUGGAAAACAGUGUGGCAAUUCCUCAAGGAUCUAGAACUAGAAAUAACAUUUGACCAAUUCCAUUACUGAGUAUAUACCUAAAGGAUUAUAAAUCAUUCUAUGAUAAAGACACAUGCACACGUCUGUUUAUUGUGGCACUAUUCACAAUAGCAAAGACUUGAAACCAACCCAAAUGUCCAUCAAUGAUAGACUGGGUAAAGAAAAUGUGGCACAUAUACACUGUGGAAUACUGUGCAGGUGUAAAAAAGGAUGAGUUCAUGUCCUUUGCAGGGACAUGGAUGAAGCUGGAAACCAUCAUUCUCAGCAAACUAGCACAAGAUCAGAAAACCAAACGCUGCAUGUUCUCACUCAUAAGUGGGAGUUGAACAGUGAGAACACAUGGACACAGGGAGGUGAACAUCACACACUGGGGCCUGUCAGGUGCUGGGGGGCUAAGGGAGGGAUAACAGGAAAAAUACCUAAUGUAGGUGACGGGUUGAUGGUUGCAGCAAACCACCAUGGCACAUGUGUACACGUAUGUAAUAAAACUGAUGUUCUUCACAUGUAACCCAGAACUUAAAGUAUAAUAAUAAAAAGAAGAAUAAAUAUUUGUUUUAUAUAUUUAAAGCUUAGAAUCACAAAUAAUGCUUCUGUUUAUGAUUUGAAAACUUCAAAGUUUGGUUUUCCUUCUGUACAUACACAAAACAUUGUAUUGUGCUGAAAUAUUUGUUUUUUAAAGUGGCAGUCAUAGUUCCUGUCUGUCCGGAUAUAUAUAUGUAUAUAUGUUAAGCAUAACAUAAGAAAGAAAUUUCAUUAGCUGGGCAUGAUGGCUCACUCCUGUAAUCCCAGAACCUUGGGAGGCUGAGGUGGGUGGAUUGCCUGAGGUCAGGAGUUUGAGACCAGCCUGGCCAACAUAGUGAAACCUCGUCUCUACUAAAAAUACAAAAAAUUAGGUGGGCGUGGUGGCAGGCACCUGUAAUCCCAGCUACUAGGGAGGCUGAGGCAAGAGAACGGCUUGAACCUGGGAGUCAGAGGUUGACGUGAGCCGAGAUCACACCAUUGCACUCCAGCCUGGUGACAGAGUGAGACUCUGUCUGAAAAAAAAAAAAAAAGAAAAAUUUUAUUUUGUUUUCGGUAAUCUAAGAUUGUUGUACACAAAAACUUUACAGAUUAUGGUAGGGUUUAGCAAACUGUGUAUAUAACGUAACAUUAAUAUCGCUAUUUUCUGAUGUCUAACUUUUAGGAAAGAUUUUUUGUUUACAAAUGUCUCCACAAAUUCUGGCUUAUUUUAUAAAAAUAGCAGAAUACUAAAGAAAUGGGUGGUUUGCCACACUACAUGAAUUCACACACUACUGGCAUUCAAUUAAAAUAGCAAAUAUUUUCCUCAAAAUUUAGACAGAUGAAAUAAUUUCUUGAUUUUUGAGUGCAGUGACAGACAUUCACAAAUAUUUCAGAAAUCAAAGCUGUAUUAGGUUUUACUUAGUAGUAAUAUGUAUAUAAGAUCAAGGAUCUGUUCAGAAUAGAUAUUUUUCAUCAAUAAUUUGGUGCUUUCAAAUACCCAGAAGUCUUGUUUUAAUCAGAUGAAGUCUGAGGAUAGUUUAGUAAUUUUACUUUUUGUAUGAUGUGUUCACAAUUUUCUAAUUUAACCUAGUAUUGAUUGAUGAUGGGUAAACCAACUUUUUUUUUUAAUCUCGUAGGUUUAUUAUGUUGUUGAAGAUGUUUUUAGUUAGAAUUCUGUCUUUCAAAAUUGUUUACAGAGAUUUAGGUCUAGUUGAAUUUGCUCAACCUGUUAAUCAGUGUCAGCUGCCAGAUUCUAAUUCAUUUUUAGUGUGCCUGUACUUUUCUUUCUCUAAACUAAAUUUAUAUUCUCUAUAUUACUUGUUCAAAUGUGAUAUAAUACAGCUCACACAUUUAAAACAAAACCAUGAGGACAAAUUAAUUCUGGCUUAGUAUAAAGAAGCUGUUACCAAAUUAGUGUUACAUAUGCAGAUGGAUGCAGCUCAACAAAAUUUUACACAAAAAAAAUUGAAUUGAACUACACGUGUUGCCAUGACUUAGCCUCUAAUGAUCUCGUGAAUAAAGACAAAUUUCAACACAUUUAUUCAUUUGCUUUCAUUAUGUCUAAUGGUAGUGUGUCAAAAAUUCUCAUGCUACUGUCUGAGAAAACACGUUCUACUUUUACUUAAGAAAUCAACUGAAUGGCAUUUUUAUAACCUUGCACCACAUAAGGAAAAACUGCAAUGUAGUCUGCGUGGAAAAGGAUAAUCCAGAAUGUCACUUUCAAUAUUUAAGUAUUUAACCUUUUGGUUGAAAAAUGUAGUAAAAUACGGAUGCCAAGCCGAGGCUGGACUGUGCUGCCGCCAUCUCGGCUCACUGCAACAUCCCUGCCUGAUUCUCCUGCCUCAGCCUGCCGAGUGCCUGGGAUUGCAGGCGCAUGCCGCCACGCCUGACUGGUUUUUGUAUUUUUUGGUGGAGACGGGGUUUCGCCAUGUUGGCCAGGCUGGUCUCCAGCUCCUGACCGCGAGUGAUCUGCCUGCCCGGGCGUCCCGAGGUGCCGGGAUUGCAGACGGAGUCUCGCUCACUCAGUGCUCAAUCUUGCCCAGGCUGGAGUGCAGUGGCGUGAUCUCAGCUCGCUACAACCUCCACCUCCCAGCCACCUGCCUUGGCCUCCCAAAAUGCCCAGAUUGCAGCCUCUGCCCGGCUGCCACCCUGUCUGGGAAGUGAGGAGCGUCUUUGCCUGGCCGUCCAUCAUCUGGGAUGUGAGGAGCCCCUCUGCCCGGCUGCCCAGUCUGGGAAGUGAGGAGCGCCUCUUCCCGGCCGCCAUCCCAUCUAGGAAGUGAGGAGCGUCUCUGCCCAGCCACCCAUCGUCUGAGAUGUGGGGAGCGCCUCUGCCCCGCUGCCCCGUCUGGGAUGUGAGGAGCGCCUCUGCCCGGCCACAACCCCGUCUGGGAUCUGAGGAGUGUCUGUCUCUGCCCGACCGCCACCCCGUCUGGGAGGUGAGGAGCGUCUCUGCCUGGCCGCCCCGUCUGAGAAGUGAGGAGCCCCUCCGCCCGGCAGCCGCCCCGCCUGGGAAGUGAGGAGCGUCUCCGCCCGGCAGCCGCCCCGUCCGGGAGGUGGGGGGCAGCCCCCGCCCAGCCAUCCGCCCCGUCCAGGAGGGAGGUGGGGGGGUGCCUCUGCCCGGCCACCCCGUCUGGGAAGUGAGGAGCCCCUCUGCCCGGCCGCCACCCCGUCUAGGAGGUGUACCCAACAGCUCAUUGAGAACGGGCCAUGAUGACAAUGGCGGUUUUGUCGAAUAGAAAAGGGGGAAAUGUGGGGAAGGAAAGAGAGAUCAGAUUGUUGCUGUGUCUGUGUAGAAAGAAGUAGACAUGGGAGACUCCAUUUUGUUCGGUACUAAGAAAAAUUUUUCUGCCUUGGGAUGCUGUUAAUCUAUAACCUUACCCCCCACCCCCCACCCCGUGCUCUCUGAAACAUGUGCUGUGUCCACUCAGGGUUAAAUGGAUUAAGGGCGGUGCAAGAUGUGCUUUGUGAAACAGAUGCUUGAAGGCAGCAUACUUGUUAAGAGUCAUCACCACUCCCUAAUCUCAAGUACCCAGGGACACAAACACUGUGGAAGGCCGCAGGGUCCCCUGCCUAGGAAAACCACAGACCCUUGUUCACAUGUUUAUCUGCUGACCUUCCCUCCACUGCUGUCCUAUGACCCUGCCAAAUCCCCGUCUCUGAGAAACACCCAAGAAUGAUCAAUAAAUACUAAAAAAAAAAAAAAAAAAAAGUAGUAAAAUAGAGCUCUUGGUAAGUUUUGUGUAGCUUAACAUCAGCAUAAAGUAGGAAAAAAUAUCUUUAAAAAUGUAAACGGACAAAAACCUACACCAAAAAAACAAACAUACACCAAUGCAUACAUAUUGACUGAAGCUCCAGGGAUGUAAAAUAAUUUCUCCUGGGUACACAGCUAGUGACCCAAAUCAAGCUCAAAUAUGUUUGAUUUUAAAAUUGUCAUUUUCUCACUUUUGACAAUAUUGACAUAACAGGUAAAUCUUUGUCUCAGAGUUGAUAGUUGAAAAUAAACUAAGAUAAGUAUUAUUGAAGCUGGCUAGCUAGCCAAGAAGGUCACCAUGUCCUCAGGAUGCAGCAGCCAUGGCGAUUUCCUGGUGAUAGCAUAUUAUCAACACAAUAAACCCCAACAUUUGCAUUGCGUUUCAGCUCAUUCAAGCAAAGCUCUCUAGUAGGGAUAUUCCCCCAUAAAGAGCAUGCACAUUUUGAUUUUACUUGUCCUCUGACCUUUUACUCAUCGUAAUACUAAAAAACACACACGUGAGUGGAGUUUUUGCUAAUGAGAUGCUAAUUAGAUAUGUGACAUAUGCUAAUGAGAUAUGUGACAUAUAAACAAGCAUGUACAGCCACUGUGUAUGUGCACCAAGAGGACCACCCAGAACAUGCUUACUAAUAACACCACUUUCUAACUCUUUGUAAAUAAUUAUGUAAGACUCCGAUAAAUGGAGUCUCUCUAUUUCCAGUCUUUGCUGUCUCAUUCUUAUAAGCAGCCCAUCCUGAAUUGCUUUUCUCUCAGGGGUGUUUUGCACCGCACUUUUAAAAUAGUGUUUCUACUUUGCGAUAAAUCUAUCUAUGCUGCAUCCUCAUUUUUUUGCGUCUCGUUUAAAUUUUUGAAACUAAGAACCGAGGUCUCACAACAGCCUUCAGGACUAUUGUGCUUUGUUUUGUUUUCUUAACAUUAUUUUAUGUGAUAUUUCAUAUUUACAUUUUCAACAUAGCCAAAACUGCUAAAUUAAAAACUUAAAUGAUCAUGCUUUUAAAGUGAUUUGUCUUAAAAGCAUGUAUGUAUAUUUUUCAAGUUUCAGCUUUAUGUAUUCAAAUUUUUUAAAAAUUCUGACACAUAUAUCUAUCAAAUUUAAUAUUUUAAAUAAUUUGAAUUCACUUCCAAAAUGAUUUAUAUUCAUUGUUAUAUUUCAUUUUGACCAAAUUUGGCUUUCCAAGCUAAAGAAAUGCUCUGUAGUAAAAUAAAGGCUCAUGUUUUUAUCAAUAAUAUUUUAUGUCUGAGGACUUAAGCAUCAAGGACAGAAAUCUGGAUGAUGUUGAGUGAAUAUUUAAAUUGAUAAAGUAGAAAUUAUCAGAAUCAAAUAAGGGGUGGAUCCAGAAACAUAGUACUUAAUAAAACCAUUCAGGGUAUGUUUGACAAACAAGAAGAUUGCAUAGGAUCUGCACUGCACUACUAAUGUAAAGCGUUCUCUGUAACUUUAUUCUCCACGUACUCAUACACAAAAUGAAUAAGAUUAACUCCUUUUCCUGGAAGGCAGUGAUUCCUCUUUUAUUCUGUUACAUCUGUUCCACAUUGCUGUGAUAAUGCUGUUGAAGUGCACCCCCUUACACCAGAAGAUCACCUGUGUGAAUGUGAAUAGACUGACACUGGAGAGGACCAGCUCAGCACAGUCACUUGAACUGCCCCUUUGCAUUUCAGGCAGGUAAAAUGCCUUUGAAGAGUGAAAAUAAAGUUACUGCUGAUUAAGCAGAGAGUUUGACUUGCUGAUCAAUUUGAUCAGAAGCCUCUCAAUGAGAUAAUUACUGCAUUUAUUUAUUUCAAGAAAAGUAAAAGCCAAAGCCCAGAAUGUGGCAAGGCAAGAGUUGAAAAGAAAAGAACAAGUUUUUCUUUGCCUAGCAAGCUCACUUCAAGGACAGUUAUAAGAUAAUGCUGUUUGAGAAGUUGAAACCAAAGAAAUAGGCUCCAGACACUCCCCUCCGAAGCAAGGGUGAAGGAAACAAAGAAAAACAAACGUCUGUAUUUAGCCAGUUCUUGUUUUUUCUUUCAAUGCAGCUACAAGGCCACCAGCUAUUAAAGGCCACAAGUUAUGCCAAGAAUUCAGUUAUGCUAUAAAUUACAUAAACUGGUCAUUAUAUAAUUAACUGCCUUUGUUUUGCUUCUGUAAGUUUACUUAUUAAAAUCUCACUCAGUCUUUGUUCAAGGCUCAGCUUUUUGGAUGUGAAUUCACUGAGCCAGAGCAUACCUUAAAAUAAAUAUCCUCCUUUAUUGACUCAUACUGGUCUCUCUAGUCCUCUGUGUCCCACAUUUCUUGGCGAGCCAGCCAGGAGCAGAGACUGUCUCCUUUGCCUUGAAAUCGGGGCUGGAGCCCCGGAUUCAAGGGAAAAUCGGGGCUGGAGCCUUGAUUCAAGGGAAACCUGGGACCCAGGCACCGCCGGGAGAACUUCAGCCCGGAGGGGAAAUCAGCUCUCCCAUGACCCGGCAUCCCUACCCAGCAGUGCAACGGAGCCUGAGAAGGGCUACAGGAUGAUUCCAGAAAUAGCGCACUUUAGGAACCACGUUGGCUAAAACCAGCAGCCCAAGACAAGUGGGCCAGCCAGCAGGACCCAGAUCAUCCAACCCGGCUGAUCCUGAGACGAGAGCAAGCUGCUGCUAAAGACAACUGCCCUGCUCUGGUCAUUCUGGAAGCUGACCAGUCUAUGAAUGGCGGAAGCAUAAGAAGACAACAAGCCCUACUCUAGUCACACACAGGAAUCUGACUAGUCUAUGCACAGCCAAAGCUUAAGAACUUGUCAAGCAAGUAAAUGUGGUUAAAAAUCCUAAAAGUAGUAGUUUUCCUUGUAAUACUGUUUUCCUAUUGUUCUGUCACUGUGCUCAGUCUCCUCCCCCAAAUAAAGACCUCUUCCGUCCUUGCUGAAUAUAAAUAAGCUGUAUAUUGUUUUGCUGUUGUUACCCCCUUAACCAUGCUAGAAGAAGCACCUAUAGAAGGGUGUCCCCACUGUACACAUACUACCUGGUCAGGGACUGGUAUAACUAAAACUCUAUUGUACCAUAGUUAUAAGUGUACAGGGACUCACUUAGGAACUUGUACUUAUAAUCAGACUACCUGCUCAAUUUGUGGCCCAGAAAAUAACAAACCUUAUGUAUUCUCUGACUCUAAAUUUUCGCCUGGUGAAUGGUGUAAGAUUCGUGCAAUGUCAAAGGAAAAUUUCCUCUUAAACCAAACCAAGGUCCCUCCCUUUUACCAAGGGCCUGUUUCUCUGUACUUGGAUGCCUAUCAGGCAGCAUACUAGACUCACCCGUCUGUGGUAACUUACCCUUAAAUACUAUAGAAAUAACUACAAAUAUAUAUGCAUGCCAAGAGUAACUCCUCCUUGUUCCGCUGGGAUCCCAAAAAAGGAUUGUUGGUACUGCAUAUCAUGGCACCUUAGCAUACAACAGAGGCCAAUUAUGCUUACCAAAAUGCCAGUAAAACCAGAUUGCAAAAUAAAAACCUGUAAUCCUGUAAACUUCACCAUUCUAAAGUCAGACUUACCCAUGUGGACUACAGGUUACUCUUACAUGUCUACAUAAAUACAUACCCAGCAACCUAACUAUAUGUUAUCAAAAAAGAAACCUGGACCUGUCUGGCUCAGCAACAAUCCGAAGUCUUUAAAUCAUUCUAUAAGCAUGUAAACUAGAAGUUACCAGAGUCUCUUCCUUUAGCUGAGAACCUGUUUGCUCAGCUGGCUCAAAACAUUGCUGGCAGCCUAGGCAUUUCUUCAUGUUAUGUUUACAGAGGAACAUGGGAGACCAGUGGCCUUGAAAAGCAAAAACGUUAAUGCCACAAGAUAAUUUUACUUUAACUGACAAUUCCCCUGAACCAAUGCCUGUAAGUUCAAGUCUCUGGCUCUGAAAAACUUCUGUCAUUGGAAGAUACUGUGUUGCUCGCUGGGGAAAGGCUUUUACAAACCCAGUAAGAGAACUAACCUGCUUAGAACAGCAAUAUUAUAAUGAAACACUAAGAAAAACUUUGUGGCGGGGCAGAAAUGACUCCAAAUCACCUCAUCCAAAUCCGUUCUCCUGUUUCUGUUCUCUAAAUCACACCUGGUAUCAGCUUGAAGCUCCAAAUACCUGACAAGCACCCUCUGGUCUUGAUUGGAUCUGUGGGCCAUGGGCCUACCAACAGUUACAAGGAAAAUAGAUAGGGGCUUGUAUAUUCAAGACAAUUAAGCCAUAUUUCUUUUUACUCCCACUGCAACAAGGAAAAACCUUAGGGUAUCCUGUCUAUGAUGAAAUUAAAAGAAGAAACAAAAGAAAUAUAAACAUAAAAAAAGACAUACAAAUAGGAGAUUGGGGGCCAGGCAUGGUGGGUCAUGCCUGUAAUCCCAGCACUUUGGGAGGCUGAGGCAGGUGGAUCACGAGGUCAGCAGAUUGAGACUAUGCUGGCUAACAUGGUGAAACCCCGUCUCUACUAAAAAUACAAAAAGGUUAACCAGGCAUGGUGAUGGGCACCUGUGGUCCCAGCUACUCGGGAGGCUGAGGCAAGAGAAUGGCGUGAACCCAGGAGGUGGAGCUUUCAGUGAGCCAAGUGGCACUGCACUCCAACCUAGGUGACAGAGCGAGACUCUGUCUCAAAAAAAAAAAAAAAGGAGAUUUGAAGGAUACAGAUUGGCCACUGAAAGAAGGAUUCAAUAAUGUGGGCCAGCUACCUAGGCACAAAAUGGGUCAUGGGGGUACUGCACCUCAAUUUACAUGCUUAACUGCAUCAUAAGGUUGCAGGCAGUCCUUGAAAUUAUCACUAAUGAAACAACAAAUGCAUUAGACUUCUUUGCCCAGCAGCCCACAAAAAUGAGAAAGGCCGUUUAUCAAAAUAGCCUGGCUUUAGACUAUCUCCUAGCCCAGGAAGAAGGAAUAUGUGAAAAGUUUAAUCUAACUAAUUGCUGCUUAAAAAUUGAUAACAAUGAGAAAGCUUUGUAGAAAUAACUGCAAGAAUGAAAAAAUUAGCCCAUAUUUCAGUCCAGACCUGGAAAGGGUGGACUCCUGAUUCCCUCUUUGGAGGCUGGUUUUCCUCCUUUGAUGGAUUCAAAACCUUAAAAGGACUAGUUCUAACCAUACUAGGAGGUUGUUUGAUACUUCCUUGCCUUUAAUCCUUCCUUAUUAGGAGCAUUCAAUCAACUAUAGAGACAAUUGUAGCUAGGCAAACUACCACUCACCUAAUGCUCUGCAUAAAUAUCAACCUGUUCCUAAAGAAGAAAACCUGCUGUCUCUUAAUGAAUCAAGUAAUAGUGAUGCUUUCUAUUAAAAUUUUGUUUAUAAAAAGCAUCAAAGGGGAGAAACUGAGGCAGAAAUUUAAAAUAAUAAGUACUGCAUUCAUUAACUCCAAGAAAAGUAAAAGCCAAAGCCCAGAAUGUGGCAAGGCAGGGGUUAAAAAGAAAAGUUUUCCUCUGCCUAGCAAUCUCACUUCAAGGAAAAUUAGAAGAUAACCUUGUUCAAGAAGGCAAAACCAAAGAAAUAGGCUCCAGACAGUCCCCUCCGAAGCAAGGGUGAAGGACACAAACAAACAAACAAAUGUCUAUAUUAGCCAGUUCUUUUUUCUUUCAACGCAGCUCCACGGCUACCAGCUAUGCCAAGCCACAAGUUAUGCCAAGUCAUCAGUUAUGCUAUAAAUUACGUGACCUGUCAUUAUAUAGUUAACUGCCUUUGUUUUGCUUCUGUAUGUUUGCUCAGUCUUUGAGCUCAGUCUUUGCUUUUUAAGUUUGGAUGUGAAUCCACUGAGCUGGUGCCUACCUUAAAAUAAAUAUGCUCCUGUAUUCACCGAUACUGGUCUCUCUAGUCCUCUGCAUCCUGCAACACUUAGAACUGGGAGAGAUGACACAAAGAUGGUGCUUGCAUGUUGGGUGGGAGAGGAAAUGAUUAUCAGGGACUAGAUCGUAACUGUUUCACUCAUCAAUGUUGACUUUCAUUGCUAUUUUGUCUCAAAUUACGUUAAUAAAGUAAUGGCUUUGGUCCAAGAAGUUUUCUUAAAACAUGUUGUCAAUCAGCCAUAAUAUUAACCAAAAAAUGCACAGAAAUGAAGGUAAACAGUCAUAAUUUACAUUUUAAAAUUAAAAUAUUUCUGGAAAUUUUUAAGGUUUCCUAGGUAGAGCAUUAUAUCAUCGUGAAGAUAAUUUAACUUCCUUUUUUUCUAUUUAGAUGCUUUUAAUUUCUUUAUUUUGUUGGAUAGCUCUGACUAGGACUUCUAGAAUUAUGUUGAAUAGGAGUGUUAGACUGGAUAUUCUUGUCUUAUUUUUAUUCUAACGUUCUGAUUUGCUUAUGAACUCAGAUUGCUCGUAUUUCAUGGAGGAUUUUUGUUUCAAUGUUUACCAAAAAUAUUGGCCUGCAGUUUCCUUUUUUUGUUGUGCCUUCACUAUAUUUUGGAAUUAAGAUAAUAUUGAUAUUAUGAGUUAGGGUGGAAUCCCACCUGGAUUUCUUGGAGUAUAUUCAGUAGUAG
rnacentral:lncRNA from 1 species